UAUGUGAUCGUCUCUCGCAUAUCAAUAAGCGGAGGAAAAGAAACUAACAAGGAUUCCCCUAGUAACGGCGAGUGAAGCGGGAAGAGCUCAAAUUUGAAAUCUUAAAGGGUUUCCCUUUACGAAUUGUAGUUUAAAGAAGUGUUUUCUGUUGAGGUUUUGGUAAAAGUUCUUUGGAAUAGGGACAUCAUAGAGGGUGAGAAUCCCGUAUUUGACCUUUACUUUCAACUUUGUGAUACACUUUCAAAGAGUCGGAUUGUUUGGGAAUGCAGUCCAAAAUGGGUGGUAAAUUUCAUCUAAAGCUAAAUAUUGGCGAGAGACCGAUAGCGAACAAGUACCGUGAGGGAAAGAUGAAAAGAACUUUGAAAAGAGAGUUAAACAGUACGUGAAAUUGUCAAAAGGGAAGCGUUUGACACCAGUGUUGUUUUUCUGAAAAUCAAUUAAAGAACUGUUUAUGCUAAGUUGUUUAGACUUUAUCAGCUAACCGUUUAGUUUUGAGCUUUUCUUUAAUGCACCUUUCAGUUAACAAGUCAACAUCAAUUUCUUUUGCUGUAAAAAAGCUUGAGGAAGGUGGCUUGAGAUUCGUCUUAAGUGUUUAUAGCCUCUUGCCUAUGCAGUCGGAGAGAUUGAGGUCUGCAGCGUAGAUCCUUCGGGGCUAAAUGCAUUUGUGCUAAGUUAUAGCAUUUUAUAGACAACUUGUUGACUAUGAUUUGUCUUGUAGCUUACUCGCUUAUGUUAUUUUACCUACGCUUAGGAUGUUGAGUAGCGACAUACGCAC
rnacentral:rRNA from 1 species